CCUACGAGAGGCAGCAGUGAGGAAUAUUGGUCAAUGGGCGAGCGCCUGAACCAGCCAAGUCGCGUGAAGGAUGAAGGAUCUAUGGUUUGUAAACUUCUUUUAUAUGGGAAUAAAGUGAGGAACGUGUUCCUUUUUGUAUGUACCAUAUGAAUAAGCAUCGGCUAACUCCGUUCCAUCAUCCGCGGUAAUACGGAGGAUGCGAGCGUUAUCCGGAUUUAUUGGGUUUAAAGGGUGCGUAGGUGGUUAAUUAAGUCAGCGGUAAAAGCCCGGGGCUCAACCCCGGCGAGCGGUUGAAACUGGCUGUCUUGAGAGGUCGAGAGGUAGGCGGAAUGCGAAGUGUAGCAGUGAAAUGCUUAGAUAUUGCGCAGAACUCCGAUUGCGAAGGCAGCAUACCGGCGGCGAUCUGACGCUGAGGCACGAAAGCGUGGGUAUCGAACAGGAUUAGAUACCCUGGUAGUC
rnacentral:rRNA from 1 species